AUUGAACGCUGGCGGCAGGCCUAACACAUGCAAGUCGAACGAGUGGCGGACGGGUGAGUAAUGUCUGGGAAACUGCCCGAUGGCGGGGGAUAACUACUGGAAACGGUAGCUAAUACCGCAUACCAUCGGAUGUGCCCAGAUGGGAUUAUCUAGUAGGUGGGGUAACGGCUCACCUAGGCGACGAUCCCUAGCUGGUCUGAGAGGAUGACCAGCCAACAUGGAAAUGCGGCAAGGCCCAGACUCCCACGGGGGGCAGCAGUGGGGAAACAUCCGCAAUGGACGGAAGUCUGAAGGAGCAACGCCGCGGGAGUGAUUACGGCCUUCGGGUUGUAAAGUACUUGCAGCGAGGAGGCGUUACUCGCAGAAGAAGCACCGGCUAACUCCGUGCCAGCAGCCGCGGUAAUAC
rnacentral:rRNA from 1 species